rnacentral:rRNA from 1 species
UACGUAGGGGGCAAGCGUUGUCCGGAAUCAUUGGGCGUAAAGAGCGUGUAGGCGGCUCGAUAAGUCCGCUGUGAAAGUCCAGGGCUCAACCCUGGAAGGCCGGUGGAAACUGUCGGGCUAGAGUCCGGAAGAGGCGAGUGGAAUUCCCGGUGUAGCGGUGAAAUGCGCAGAUAUCGGGAGGAACACCAACGGCGAAGGCAGCACUCUGGGCUGGAACUGACGCUGAGGAGCGAAAGCGUGGGUAGCAAACAGG